CACAAACCUCUCUCUCUCUCUCUCUCUCUCAUUUUGAGAUUAUUAUGCUGCCAUGGGAAACCUAUUUGAAGCUUAAAGAAUGGUGAAAUUUGAAGAGGGUGAAGGAAAAUUGGAAAGUGUGUCAUUGUUGACAGAAGAGAGAGAGCACAACCCAAGCAUUGGCUUAAGAGAUCUGCUUUGCCUUUAUUGGGAGUGUGCUCUCUCUUCUUCUGUCAGCUUCUCAAAUUCCUCCAUUUUUUCUUUCAAAUCCCAUCUCAAUGCUAAGGCUGUGAGCUCAAAGUUGAUGUCAAUGGCGAUAUCGAAAAUAAAAAAUAUCGAUUUCGAUCGAAUCGAGUUGGUUGUCAAUGAAUUUGAAGAAUAUGAGAGUGAUCAAUUCGAUGCCA